CAUACGCAAGGUUACUGUGCCAGGCCAGCAGCCGAGCUUUGGGAAUGUCAAAACAACAUCAUAAAAAGGGAGAAUUAUUACAGUUUUGUGUGGCGCUUCAACACACACCACAACUUCAAUUAUACACAAACAAGCUAAGAAUACUCUCGAAGGCCCGCUGACAUAAACACCUCAGUCAUCUCUCCUCAGCGCUUGCUGUUCCCUCGCUCUUGUUUUCUUUCUCUUCCAGUGGUCUCUGCAGUCUACAACAGCCUCUGCAGCUGGGUGCCUGCUCCUCUCUGUACAGAGGAAUUAUGGAACUGCAAAACUUCACACAUGCAACAUCCCCAGCGUGGUGAAACCUUGAUGUAUAAUAGCACCGAAACUCAAGACAGAAACAUGGGAAAUCCAAUCAGCGUCCCAGUGCUACCUGACCAUGGGAAAGACGGAGCAAGGAGGAGACAUCCGAGGCUCUCCAAAUAUGACUCAUCCCUCUGUCUGUUAUCCUGCUGGCUUUCUAUUCUUGCAUCUUUCUAUUCAGCCUUUGUAUGGACUUCUGGCUUCACCCCACUUCAGCAGUCUUCUGGAAAUCUCCAUUAAGUCACUGCACUAGAGGCGACCAGGGUCAAAAGGCCUAACUUCACUGUAUGUUGCUCACAGACCAAGAGGCUAACCCUCCACCACCACCACCUCUGUAACACAAUCCACACACUCCUGUAAUCAGGACACAACAGUCAGGCUGCCAUAGAAACGAGAGGUUUGUGUCUGCACAACACUCGGCCCUCUUUGUUUCUACUCUCGCACUCUUGUUCUAAGGUGAGGUCAGCCAUGGAGAGUGGGAGGGGAGAGAGCAGAAUGCCUUCUUAUUGAGGUCAGAGUGGUACAGGAGAGGUGCAUAUAUGCAGCGCUGCAUGCUGAAAAGCAGGCUGUGCUGUGAUUUCUCUUCUCUUCCAGCAGGGGUGGUUCAUUAAUGAGUUAUAAAUGAAUUAUGCCCGUUGUCAGCGGCAGGAAUGAGGGACAUCUUUCACACA